AUUGAACGCUGGCGGCAGGCUUAACACAUGCAAGUCGAGCGGUGAUGAGGUGCUUGCACCUUAUCUUAGCGGCGGACGGGUGAGUAAUGCUUAGGAAUCUGCCAUUUAGUGGGGGACAACAUUCCGAAAGGAAUGCUAAUACCGCAUACGUCCUACGGGAGAAAGCAGGGGAUCUUCGGACCUUGCGCUAAAUGAUGAGCCUAAGUCGGAUUAGCUAGUUGGUGGGGUAAAGGCCUACCAAGGCGACGAUCUGUAGCGGGUCUGAGAGGAUGAUCCGCCACACUGGGACUGAGACACGGCCCAGACUCCUACGGGAGGCAGCAGUGGGGAAUAUUGGACAAUGGGGGGAACCCUGAUCCAGCCAUGCCGCGUGUGUGAAGAAGGCCUUAUGGUUGUAAAGCACUUUAAGCGAGGAGGAGGCUACUGAGACUAAUACUCUUGGAUAGUGGACGUUACUCGCAGAAUAAGCACCGGCUAACUCUGUG
rnacentral:rRNA from 1 species